rnacentral:lncRNA from 1 species
GACAGGGAAAUGUUCUAAGAAAUUCGUUAGGCAAUUUCAUUGUUGUGUGAACAUCACAGGGAGUACUUAAACCUACGUGGUAUAGCCUACUGCACACCUGCUCAAUUAAAUUGGCUAGAGUACUGUAAAGCUUUAUAUAAAAUAAGUUAUUUUUGGAAAAUAAGUUAUUUCUUGGAAAUAAGUUAUUUCUUUGGGAAAUGAAGUGCUUCAUAACUAACUUUGCCUGAUAAUCAUCCAAAAAGCCCCUAGAUCGAUAAAUGAAUUCAGUAAAUGUUUUAGUCUGUUUUCAUGCUGCUGAUAGUCAUAGCGAAGACUGGGCAACUUACAACAGAAAGAUUUAAUGGACUUACAGUUCCACAUGGUUGGGAAGGCUUUACUGCAUGUUGGGUAACUUAUGGGUUCACUAGGCACAAAGGAAUAAUUAAAGGGAAAAAUGAUGGAUUCACCCUCUCUGUGAACUCUUCUUGUAGUGAUGUUACCUUUAAUGUUUUUGUUGUUUUGUUUCUGAUCUUUUGUAACAAGGAAAUAGUAAGAACCUGGUACUGUCCCGUGUUUGUGGAGUGCUGUUUGAGUCUGCCAGUUAAUGAUUAGGAGAGAAUGGAAAGUCAAAGCAGUAGG